rnacentral:rRNA from 1 species
UACGUAGGAUGCAAGCGUUGUCCGGAAUUACUGGGCGUAAAGCGUGCGCAGGCGGUUGGCAAAGUCAGCUGUGAAAGCCCCCGGGCUCAACCUGGGAAUGGCGGUUGAAACUAGUCGACUCGAAUCUGGCAGAGGGGGUGGAAUUCCGACGUGUAGCAGGUGAAAUGCGUAGAGAUGAUGGAGGAACACCGAUGGCGGAAGGCAGCCCCCUGGGGCUGAGAUUGACGCUCGAGGACGAAGCGUG